rnacentral:miRNA from 1 species
AAUCUUAGGGACCAAAUUGACAGC